GCUCAAGUAGCUUAACCCUUAAAGCACCGUUCUUGUAAAACGAAGCUGGACCCCACCCUUGAGCA
rnacentral:tRNA from 4 species